GGGAUUUCUUAGUAGGGUUUUGAAGAGAGAUGCCGGGGGUGGCUGACUCUGCCAAAAUGUUUCCUUUUUCUCUUGCUGUUUGUCAGAUAUUACUGUUGAGCAAGCCUGGUGAGUGUCAUCAACAUGCAAUCUCAUCUGAUUUAUCUUCCUUUACUCACUCAAACUCAGCCCUUUGCCUCUUUUUUUUUUUUUUUUUCCUAGCUCAUUUAGAGUUUCACAACCUCUUACCUUUAAUUGCUGAGUAAGUGCAAAACGUUUGUGUAUCUGGCAUCAGAUACUACAAUCUCCAAGAAAAAUGAUUCACAGUCUCAGGCAUGUCAGUGGCUACCUAUUAUACCUUGAUAUUUUGCUUUGCCAUUAUUUCAUCUUAAAAGUUCGUUUCUAUUUUCCUCACAGAUUCUGUUUCAAAACAAUACAUUUUUGUGGCUGUAUUUUCCUCCAAGUCCCUCCCUUUUGAAAUGUGGAAUAAAUCUUAUGAGCUCCACAGAGUUUCCAGUGUCAGUCUCUCUAGGGACCCAUAAAAAAUCCCACACCAAUAAACCAUUGAUGCAAGUACAGGCAAUGGAAUAUUUGGGUCUAGUGGGAUCCUAAAGUGAACUUUCAAUCACAUGGACAGAGGAAAUUAACAUCAUUUGCGGGUUAAAAUCUUUCACAAGUGUCCUAGAGGUAGGACCACGUGGUUACUGCCACCACCCAGCUAACCCCGACGUGAAGUCUUUACAAUUUAUCCUUAAAUCAACCUGACUUUCCUUGCAUCAGCCAAGAAAAUUUUGCUCCCGCCUUUCCCAGUUUCUCUUCUCUGCCUCCAUCUCAAUCGGCAGAAAAAUGGUCUGAAUUUUGACGGAGGUUUCCGGAGCAAUUCCAGAUGUAAUUAUUAGAUAAAUACAUACAGUUUGAGCCUAGUGAAAGAUAGAACAGUGCUUAAGUAGCUAAAUAAAGUAGACAAGAAAAAAACGUGCGCUGAUACUUUCAACAGCCUAUGGCGUUUAUAGAUCCUGCCACUCCACACCUGUGCUUGGUAAACUUGGGGUAACUGGAAUUUCUAAAGCAUUCAGUCAAACUAGGAAGAACUAUAAAUGCAUUAAAAAGUUUCUAGGGCCUGUCUCAUGUCCCUGAAUACAAGCUCUAUUCUACCUAGAAUCUUUUUAUAUAAAUAUCUUCUCCUGUCCACAAAUCCCGAAAGGGUCAAAUUCUGGGAGGUCACUUGUUGUCUCUGUCAACAGACAAAGGAAGCACCUGCUGUAAGAUGUUUCCUGCCUGAGGCCACCCUUGCUUCCAAGUUUACUGCUGUAUCCACAAAGACUUCGAUAAUAGCUGGAGCUUAGUAGGAGUUCACUAAAUAUUUGUUGAAUAUUGAAUGAAUUAACACAUAAAAGGUCUCAUUAUUGGUAAUGUAUCCUCUUAAUCGUCUGUCUUGCCCCAAAUCAGUCUUCCUGUAACCAUCAGAACCUAUCCUUCGAGUCUUUGCCAUUUGCUUCCUUUUAGGCUCCUAUGUAUUUCCAAACCUUUGAGCUUUAGCAAGGAUUUGGCCCCCAGGCACCAACCAGACCAGCAAGUUUUAUGGUAGUCUUGGAAUUAAAUCAUUUAUUAUAGUAGCUUCAACACUUCACUUCACCUGGCCCGUCUUGGCACACACAGACCUACCUUCCAGAGCUACAUUGAUAGACAUCCAUACAUACACAAUGAUUUAAAAGAGUGAACGUGUGAGGGUUAAUAAAUGUGACAGCCAGCUUCCAAGACGUCUCCCGGUGUCCUCCGUCCUUCGUGCUUGCCUCUAACAAAUUGAAUACUGGCGAAGUGAUAGGACAUAGCUUUCAAGAUUUAGUUAUAAAUGUGGAUUCCAUCUGGCGAUUCCUCUCUCUUUCUCCCUCGCCUCCCUCUCCCCCACUCCCCCACUGUUGGAUCACCUGCUCUGGGGGAAGCCAGCUUUAUGCGUAUCAGCCCCAUGGAGAAGCCCCUGUGGCCUCCAAAGCAACAGCCACCGAGGGACUGAGGUCUGCCAGUAACCACCUGGGUGGGCUUGGAAGUGGAUUCUGUAGAUGUCUACAAGGCAGGCCGAGGGCUUGACGGAAAUCUCACGGGAGACCCUGAGCGGGAAUCACCCAGGGAAGGCAGCAGCCCAGACCUCUGACCCCCAGCGUAAACUGUGGGGUAGUAACUGUCUGCUGUUUUAAGCUCUCGGAUUUUGAGGUUAUCUCUUACACAGCAAUAGAUACCUGGUGCAUUAAACCAGGGUCUGUAAAUGUCUUUUUAAAGGGCCAGAUGGAAAACAUCUUGGAAUUGCCAGGGCUCUACAGUGUCUACUAUGUUCCUAAGUGCAGUCACUGUAGCCCAAAUGCUACAGUGUAAACAAAUGUACAGUAGUCCCAUAAACCUUGCAAAAACAGUCAGCCAACAUGUGGGCUGUAAUGCGCCAACCCUUGCAAUAAACAAACGUGUUUUCAGUCUUUCUGAUAUUUAAUUGUCUGCAGCUACCCUAUCAAGAAACAAGCAUGACGAAUUCGGAUCACAGUUUCCUCUAUGGUGUGAAGGGAAUACCCUUCCCCAGGUUUACUUUUUAAUAACUAUUAAAAAGUAAGAUUGGGAGUUCCCGUCGUGGCGCAGUGGUUAAUGAAUCUGACUGGGAACCAUGAGGUUGCGGGUUCGGUCCCUGCCCUUGCUCAGUGGGUUAAGGAUUCGGCGUUGCCGUGAGCUGUGGUGUAGGUUGCAGACGCGGCUCGGAUCCCGCGUUGCUGUGGCUCUGGUGUAGGCCGGUGGCUACAGCUCCGAUUCAACCCCUAGCCUGGGAAUCUCCAUAUGCCGCGGGAGCGGCCCAAGAAAUGGCAAAAAGACAAAAAAAAAAAAAAAAAAAGUAAGAUUGGUGCUUUGGGGAAAGGAAAGUAAGAUGUAGGGAAAGCCCCUUCCAGAGCUAAGAAGAAUCCAGACCUUUUUUCCCAAGGAGGGCUCAGAAGAAGAAUAGAGAUAGUGUGGAGAGCUUAGAUGUCCCGGUUCCAGCACCCUUAACCAAAUACUGUGCACAUGGAUGGGGGUGGGGAAUGCUUCAGAUACGUUUAGAUAAGCACGAGAAUCCCAAGAACUUCAGAAUCAGUCACCCAAUUGCCUGGAAGGCUCAAGGCCUCCGGAAGAAACCCUGAGCCAUUUGGACCAAAACGGCCCAAGAUGGAUAACAGCCCUGGUUAAAAGAACUUGAAGGAUGGUUUAUAGCCUCUCAUGGGUUGGGCACAGCAGACAGAAGAAUACCGAAGUUCCCCUAUGGCCCCCAGAAGUUGCAGAGCUGCUAAGAAGACCACUCAGUCAGCAGGGUCCAGGGCUGGUUAAGGAUGGGAUCUCCAUGACGAGAGGCAACAGCAGGGUCUGGGGUAGGCGGCAAGGGAAGAGACUAGACUUUUAGUUCUUUUUCUCUACAUCUUAGUUUUCUUUCCCCCAAAGCACCAUUAUCACAGGGCAUGCCCUAAGGCUGGGGGGACCUGCUACUACACAGUACAUUUAGCAGAGCCCAACAAGCGAAGAUUGUAGAAACAGAUCCAUAAUCAGAGACGUCUCAUGGAGAAGCCGUCUCUCUCUUAAUCCGAAGAUGUAUGAACCCCUCCACCCCAGUGGCUUCUGGGUCACCUUGGGAAGAACAGAAAGGGAGAGGAAAUCUGGGAAAGCAAACAUUUACCCCAAAGAGACUAAGGGACCUCAACAUACAACUGCUUAAAUAAGAAGAGGUUGAAAUACUUCUUCUUUUUUUUUUUUUUUUUUCUUUAUAAGGCUGUACCUGCAGCAUAUGGAAGUUCUCAGGCUAGCAGUCAAUUCAGAGCUGCAGCUGCCAGCCUGCACCACAGCCACAGCAAUGCGGGAUCUGAGCCACAUCUGUGAACUAUGCCACAGUUUGCAGCAAUGCUGGACCCUUAACCCACUGAGCGAGGCCAGGGAUCAAACCCGCAUCCUUACAGACAUUAUGUCAGGUUCCUAACCUACUAAAGCCACAACGGGAACUACGAAAUACUUUUCUUUGAUAAGUUUAUAUAGUUUUCCCUGCUAUCCAAGGGAAAGGGGUUCAUCAGUAAGCUUAUCUCAGUUAUUAUGUGACUUUGCUCUUGCUGCCAUAACAGAUUACCACAAACAUGGUAGUUUAAAACCACACAAAUGUGUUAUCUUCUCUUUCUGUGGGUUCUCACUCAGCUAAAAUCAAGGUGUCAGAGGCUACUUCCUUCCUGGAGGUGCUGAGGGAGAACCUCUUUCCUUUCAUUAUCCAGCUUCCAGAAAUGGCUUGCAGUCCUUGGCUCCUGGCUCCCAUUUUCCGUCUUCAGAGCCAACAGUGUCACAUAUCCCUGGCCACGUGUCCAUUGUCACAUCUUACCCAGCCUGGAAAAGUUCUCCGCGUUAAGGAUUCAUGUGACCAAGCUGGAAUCACCUACCAUGUUAAGGGAACACAUGCAAAGGUUCCAUCUAGACGUCUCUGGGUCAGGAGAGUAAUAUUCUCUCUACUACAGCUGUGAAAAUAUAGGAGCUGCAUUCCAUUUCAAUUUGUGUUGUUAGUAAAUCGAGGACCCUAGUGAUAAUAAUACCCAAUAUUUAAGUGUAAUUUAUAUUCUGCACAUAUGGUCACUUAUAAAUCCUCCAUAUACAACAUAUUUUACAUGAAGAGCAAAUUCCUUAGAUUUUUUUAAACUAAUUUUGAAUUUAAACAUCAGAAAAAAAAAUUCAUCAACUGUACCUAUUGGA
rnacentral:lncRNA from 1 species